CUGAAAAAACAGAGAUACAUAUCUUUAUAGGAAAACCAUACAGUGAGAGCAAGAUAAAUACAUACAUAUGCGUUAGCUUGGCUUUCCAGUUUAGCAAAGUCUAGUUUCAUAUGACUAUAAACACAAAACAGUGUAACCGUAGUGCAUUAACACCUGGUCACACCCUUACCCCUAGCAAAAUAUGUAGUAUGACUUCUAGUCGGUGAAAAUUUUAUUCGAUCUGAGUACUAGGUUUACAACACAAGCUUACCAAGCUGGCAAAAAAACAUUUGACUAGUGUCACAUGAGAAAAAUUCCUUUACUUCUACUGUUCCUGUCUGAGAGAGUGUGUGAAGGGAGAGAUCACGUUAUAUUUCAGUUUGAUAUCACAGGAAACAAACAAUUCGGUUGCGUUAGCUACAAGACCAUCGGAAAACUAGGCUUAAGCAAUUUUAUAUCGAUUUGGAUACUGACGCUGAUCUUACAUAACCCACCAUGCGAAAACGGUGAUUUUUUAUUCUGAACGAUAUUAUUUUCGUUCAUGAAUCAUGAACUGGCUCACAUACAUACAAAUUCACUGACCAUUUUUGUUUGGAAAAAUCAAUGAACGACAAACAUGUCGCACAUGUUGGUACAUAAAUUUAAAAGAGCAAUAACGCAAUUCAACCAAGUACUGCAAAACACAGAAAUAUUUUUGGCAC